GUGGCAGCGACAGCGAUGGAGACUGCAGCUCGACAGGAAUGAACUACUUCCUCAAGCCUACCACCAACGUGCUGCUCCAUUGUCUAUCACCGCUGGGCCUUCCUCCUCAGUCAGGCAAACUGGAAGGAACAUGAGAUGGAAUCCGGAGGAUGGCUGCAGCAAUGCGGAUGUAGGAGACCAAGAUGAGUGCACAGGGAGCCAGGAACAGGACCACAGCCCCCAGGAACACAUGCUGAUUGUCAUGUAUGUGAGCAGGCAAUCUUCAUGAGCAGGUCAAAGAAAACAAUUAUCGGGGACAUGGGGAUAGUGUGGACCAGCUUUGUUGGCAUCCAAGUAAUCCUGACCUAUUUGUUACGGCGUCCGGAGAUAAAACCAUUCGCAUCUGGGAUGUGAGGACUACAAAAUGCAUUGCCACUGUGAACACUAAAGGGGAGAACAUUAAUAUCUGCUGGAGUCCUGAUGGGCAGACCAUUGCUGUAGGCAACAAGGAUGAUGUGGUGACCUUUAUUGAUGCCAAGACACACCGUUCCAAAGCAGAAGAGCAGUUCAAGUUCGAGGUCAACGAAAUCUCCUGGAACAAUGACAAUAAUAUGUUCUUCCUGACAAAUGGCAAUGGUUGUAUCAACAUCCUCAGCUACCCAGAACUGAA
rnacentral:lncRNA from 1 species